GGAGAAACUUUUUGUCACUCAACGAAGUGACUUCUUCCGUCUCAGCUGACUUCAGGUUUCCCCAACCUUACAAGGACGAUGUUUGCACAAUGACUGAAACUAGCGCCACUGGUGAACAAUGGGCUGUGAGGUCAGUUUCUUGAUCAGUAAUAUACAUUUGUCAUGACCAUUGAUCAUCAACCACUGAUCAAAGAUCAUUGAUCAAUAUCCAAGAGUUAAACGACACGGAGACUCCAGCAACACUUAAAAGUAAUAAGAAACAACUUUAUUAAGUGACCAACGUGUUUCAGCUUGUGGCCUUCAUCAGGGUCAUUGUCAAAUGUGAAACAAUUUGUGUUUAAAUAAAAGUCUGGAAACAGAAAAAAAAUUCAAAUGGACCAAUCACACCUUCACAAAUAAACCAGCUGACCAAUUGAUAUUUAAUGAGGUGGUAUUGGCUAACUGGUUAAUUGGUUAGGUCACAGCCCAAAUAGAUUCUAGACUAAACCAUUAAAGAUUAAAAGGGGGAGGGGAAAAUAAAUAAAUAAAUACAUCAAUAAAAUUUCCUCACAUGUAGUAAUAAUGCUCAAAAUUACACAGAAAAAUGCAAAUAAAUUAAUAUAAAAAUAAAAAAAGAUAAAAAUUAAAAGUUAAUAUAAAUACACAAACAUUAAAAGAGGGAGACAAAGCAAAACAUCUAGUUAAAAAACAUAAAAACACAAAAGGUACAGUUCACAGAAACUCAGUAAUAAAUCCUCACUCAUAGGAUGUAAACUCGAAAACACGAAAUAUCCAGAAUGCUUCAAUUCUUUCUGAUAAAAUUAAUAUUACCACUUCUUUGACUGGGUUUAAUGGCUUCAAUGCCUAUAAAAUUAAGCUGAUUUAUAAUGUUUUUUAUUAAAAUGUCUUGCAACAGGACUAGUUAAUUAAACUUCUGUGUUCAUUAAUUCAAUCUUUCAUAGGGCAUAUUGGGGUGGAAUUAUUUGAAGUGCCUCAAUUCUAUGCUUUAUAUUAACUAAAGUGCCAUAUAAUCAUAUAGUGUAGUAUUAAGUGGACACAGCCCUGAAAAUAAAGGCAUUAAACUACGUGUCCCAGCUUUGGCAAAGUCAGGCUAUCGACCGGACCUCAUCCCACAGGCUAUACCCACCAAGUCUGUAUGGUUUACCGAAGAUACAUAAACAGGGUGCACCUUUAAGGCCAACUGUCUGUAUAAUCAACUCGGUCACCUAUAACAUCUACGUUUCUGCCUUCAA
ensembl:lncRNA